CCGAUUGUAAUCUAAGAUAUUUUUCCUGAAUUUGAGAUUUUUUCUUGAAUUGUUGAAAUUACCAUAUAGCACAAAAAAUCCUUCUCGGCACCACUUCUUCUCACCGAUCUUCACUCUUUACUAAAAAAAAGGGCAGCUCGUUACACUAAGCUCCCGUUAUGUGCAGGGUCCGGGGAAGGACCGGACCACAAGGGUCUAUCGUACGCAACCUUACCCCGCAUUUCUGCAAGACGCUGUUUCCAUGGCUCGAACCCAUGACCUCUUGGUCACAUGGCAGCAACUUUACCAGUUACGCCAAGGCCCCCUUGGAUCUUCACUCUUUAUUACUCAUGAUUAUUACCAUAUCUCACGGGCACCCCAACCUUUUGGAACCUGAUUUUCAACCUCCUCGCUUUUGGUCUGCAUCCCCUACAACCAUCUAAUUAUCCCCCCCAUUCAUUAAAGUUUUUAUAUCGGUAUGUUGUUUUUGUAAUCGUCAUUGUUCUUUCUUUUACUCUUCUUUUGUUUUCCUGAUAGGUCUGCAUGUAGACGAGGAAAUUGCGCCAGAACUUUGUGGAUUGAUAAAUAAGAUGCCAUUCCAUUGGCAGAGUUAUACCAUUUUUACCUGUGAAAUUUACUCAGGAACAGGAUUAGGAGGACAAUAAGUUUUUAUCCUCUUUUAUGACUUUAACUCCGACUGCCAGUAGAAAAUACAGAGAACCACUAGUUCUUUUUUAUUAAUAUUAUUUUUAACUUAUGUAGUAUUAGACUGAGAUGAGCUUGAAUUGAGCAAUAUGCGGUUCAACAGCUGAUCGUAACUUGCUUGGGAUUAAGGCAUAACUGUCGUUGUUUUACUUAGUCCAUGACUGAUUCUGUAUUCAGUUGAUUCUAAAAAUCUUUUAAAAUCUAUACAUAAGAAAUUUCCAUUACUAAA
rnacentral:lncRNA from 1 species